GAUGAACGCUGGCGGCGUGCCUAAUACAUGCAAGUCGAGCGAACAGACGAGGAGCUUGCUCCUCUGACGUUAGCGGCGGACGGGUGAGUAACACGUGGAUAACCUACCUAUAAGACUGGGAUAACUUCGGGAAACCGGAGCUAAUACCGGAUAAUAUAUUGAACCGCAUGGUUCAAUAGUGAAAGACGGUUUUGCUGUCACUUAUAGAUGGAUCCGCGCCGCAUUAGCUAGUUGGUAAGGUAACGGCUUACCAAGGCAACCAUGCGUAGCCGACCUGAGAGGGGGUGCGGCCCCCCAGAACGGGACAACGGCCCCGACCCCCCACGGAGGGGCGGAAGAGGGAAUCUACCGUAGUGGGGGAAAGCCUGACGGAACCACCCCGGGUGAGUGAAGAAGGCCCUUGGUUUGGAAAACUCUUUUAUUGGGGAAAAAAAAAAUUGAAAGUAACUAUGGGCGCUUGACGGUAACCUAGGAAAAAGGCCCGGCUAAAUUCGUG
rnacentral:rRNA from 1 species